AAAACUGAAACUAAGAUGUUUUUAAAAAGACAAUCAGCAAAAACAUUUCUGCAAUUAUCCUCCAUCUCUUGAUCAUAUCUUUUCUUUCUUUUUUACUUCCUUCGUCAAGACAUGUCUCCUCCCCCGCGUAAAGUUAAUGACAGCACCAAACA
rnacentral:ribozyme from 14 species